rnacentral:snRNA from 11 species
AUACGCCGGGACCAGGAUGAUCACUAAUGCCCUGGCCCCAGGUGAAGGAUCGCCACCGCACUACGGCGAGCUGAAGCCCGCUACGAUCCCUAAUCGAGCUCGCUCGGACGCGUAGUUCUUGUCAGUGGGGAGGUAUUCGGAUCAUCCCUU